ensembl:lncRNA
CCCCCCCCCCAAACCACCACCACCCCGACGCACAGAAGAGAAAAAAAACAGCCAGAUGGAAACAGGUGACGAGGGGAUCCGAGGAGGGAGCGUUUGAUUUCCGUGUCGGCGCCGGGCAGAAUAAUAUGGUUGUUGUUUUUUUUCUUUCUUUCCUUUUUGAGGGACUUGUUUUUUUUUCCCCGACAAGCCCGCGGUUCUAUUUACCGCCUGCUGUGCACCUCUGGAGAGGAGACGCCAGGAGCCACUACACCAGCGGAUCAGGGGGACGCAUCGGCCCAACGGGGGGACGGACGGACGGACAGACAGACAGAGACACAGAGAGAGAGAGAGACGUUUUCGUCCCGUUUGAUUGGGUGUCUCACCGCGAAGAACCUCCACCUCCCUCCCUCCGCCUUCCUCCUCCUGCCUUCACCUCCACACGACGCCUCACUUCCUCCCGCCAACCACGAGACUCCCCGCGGUUCCACUCGGAGGCCCGGGAAGGACGGACGGACGGACGGACGGACGGACGGACGGACGGACGG